GAUGAACGCUGGCGGCGUGCCUAAUACAUGCAAGUCGAGCGAACGGACGAGAAGCUUGCUUUUCUGAUGUUAGCGGCGGAAGGGUGAGUAACACGUGGAUAACCUACCUAUAAGACUGGGAGAACUUCGGGAAACCGGAGCUAAUACCGGAUAAUAUUUUGAACCGCAUGGUUCAAAAGUGAAAGACGGUCUUGCUGGCAGUUAUAGAUGGAGCCGCGCUGCAUUAGGUAGUUGGUAAGGUAACGGCUUACCAAGGCAACGAUGCAUAGCCGACCUGAGAGGGUGAUCGGCCACACUGGAACUGAGACACGGUCCAUACUCCUACGGGAGGUAGCAGUAGGGAAUCUUCCGCAAUGGGCGAAAGCCUGACGGAGCAACGCCUCGUGAGUGAUGAAGGUCUUCGGAUCGUAAAACUCUGUUAUUAGGGAAGAACAUAUGUGUAAGUAACUGUGCACAUCUUGACGGUACCUAAUCAGAAAGCCACGGCUAACUACGUG
rnacentral:rRNA from 1 species